GAUGAACGCUGGCGGCGUGCCUAAUACAUGCAAGUCGAGCGAACAGGCGCGUUCCUUUUUGCUUGGACGGUAUCGGCGGACGGGGGGUUAACACGUGGAGAACCUACUUAUAAGACUUGGUGAACUUCGGGAAACCGGAGCUAAUACCGCAUAACAUGUUGAACCGCAUGGAUCAACAGUGAAAGACAGUCUUUCUUUCACUUGUAGAUGGAUUCGCGCCGCAUUAGCUAGUUGGUAAGGUAACGGCUUACCAAGGCAACGAUGCGUAGCCGCCCUGAGAGGGUGAUCGGCCACCCUGGAACUGAGACAAGGUCCAGAAUACUACGGGAGGCAGCAGUAGGGAAUCUUACGCAAUGGGCGAAAGCAUGCUGGAGCAACGCCGCGUGAGUGAAGAAGGUCUUCGGCUCGUAAAAAUCUGUUAUUGGGGAAGAACAAAUGUGUAAGUAACUAUGCAUGUGUUGACGGUACCUAAUCAGAAAGCCACGGCUAACUACGUG
rnacentral:rRNA from 1 species